GAAUCGCUUGAACCCGGGAGGUGGAGGUCGCAGUGAGCCAAGAUGGCACCAGUACACUCCAGCCUGGCGACUGAGCGACUCAUCUCAAAACAAACAAACAAAAAACACAACUAUGACUAUGAUUAUUUUUGUACAUUCAAUUCUAUUCUUUGAAUUACCUGUUUCUUUUGAGUUGGGUUGUCCUGUUCUAUCACCACGCCACUUGUAUUCUGUUGUACUAGUUUUCUCCAGGAUAUGUGAUCCUUAGUUGAAUAUGGAAUUGGUUGAGAGGGAUUAGUUCACAUGGGUUUUCUCUGCAUUUUUGUGUGUUAUUGUACCUACAGAUACUUCUCUUGAGAGGGGGAAUCUGACUGGGAGCUCUAUGGGCAGGUAGGCAUGUCUGCCUAUAGGUCUUCAGGGUGGGAAAGAGCCAGAGUGGGACUCACUUCCAAUUUUUAUGAUGAGAAGGGAGCUUGUCCUCACAUUUUUUUCCUGAGAGAGCUGCUUUCCUCACCGUUUUCUCCUUGACUUUCCUCUCUCUGUCUGAUAUAGUGUAGGUAAGUAGAAUAAGCCUCUGACCUCAUUUCAUGUUCCUGCAUCCUCUGAUUGCAGAAACUGAGAGAAAUUCUUAGGUUUUGUCUGCAGGAGAUUAAGUAGAUAUGAGAGAGAUGUGUCCCAAAUUCAGAUUGUUAAGAGUUUCCAAGAGAGAAUAACAUUUGUUUCUGAUGUUUAGGCUAUAUUUAUUCUGUUCCCAUCCACAUAAAUCCCUUAGCCACCACACCCACCUAUGUUUGUACUUUUAGUGGAGUUAGGGUUUCAUCAUGUUGGCCAGGCUGAUCUCAAAGUUUUGACCUCAGGUGAUCUGCCAGACUCAGCCUUCCCAAGUGCUGCAGUUACAGGUGUGAGCCACCUUAUUUCUUAACAUAUGUGGAGAUGUUAUAAUUAUUGUUAAAUUAAUACUUAGCAUAAUUACAAAGCUAUCAGGGAAAUACUGUGUUAAGAGUAUGUUGAAAUAUUUGUAUUCUGUCUGUGCACACAUAUGAAAAUACUUCCUUAGUUAUUAAAAUGAUUCCCCUUUACUCUGUUAAUACUGCAAAAUAAAUCAUUUGGUUUGUGAUCACUGAUUUAACUUUGCAACCUUUGAAUAAAUCGAACUAGAAAUAAUAUCUAUUUUAUAUGUUGGUGGAUAAGUUUCACUCUCAUUUUAUAUUCUUGGGUGAUACUGGAAUGUGAUUUUUUUCCUAUUGAAAAAAUUGCUGAAUUUUGGUAUCAAGGUUAUGCUAGUCAUAUAAAAUGCAUUGGAGAGUGUUCAUUUAUUUAUAUUAUCUGGAAGAAUUUGUAUUGUUUGCUCUUAUUUUAUAUUCAUCAGUGAUAUUAGACUGAGUUUUUCAUACUUGUGUUCUAUAGUAUUCUCCAGAUAUUUUGUGUAUCAAGUUUAUUAAUUGUCUGAUAUAUAAAUUAAUCCUAAUAUUUUGUUUGUUCUACCAAUUACUGUGCUAGGAAUGUUAAAAUUCUCCCACUAUAAUUGUGAAUUUGAUCAGUACUUCUGGCUCUGUCAGCACUUAGAUACUUUGAGAGCAUGUUAUUAUGUACAUACAAGAUUAAAAUGUUGCAUCUACCAAA